rnacentral:rRNA from 1 species
UAGGGAAUCUUCGGCAAUGGACGAAAGUCUGACCGAGCAACGCCGCGUGAGUGAAGAAGGUUUUCGCAUCGUAAAACUCUGUUGUUAGAGAAGAACAAGGACGUUAGUAACUGAACGUCCCCUGACGGUAUCUAACCAGAAAGCCACGGCUAACUACGUGCCAGCAGCCGCGGUAAUACGUAGGUGGCAAGCGUUGUCCGGAUUUAUUGGGCGUAAAGCGAGCGCAGGCGGUUUCUUAAGUCUGAUGUGAAAGCCCCCGGCUCAACCGGGGAGGGUCAUUGGAAACUGGGAGACUUGAGUGCAGAAGAGGAGAGUGGAAUUCCAUGUGUAGCGGUGAAAUGCGUAGAUAUAUGGAGGAACACCAGUGGCGAAGGCGGCUCUCUGGUCUGUAACUGACGCUGAGGCUCGAAAGCGUGGGGAGCAAACAGG